rnacentral:RNase_P_RNA from 1 species
GUCUGUCGCUGGCAUGAAAAUGCAAGAGGAAAGUCCGGGCAGCGCAGGGCACUCCACUACCUAAUGUAGUAGUAGUCCGCAAGGGUUAGGUAACGUAGAAGAAAAUAACCGCCGCAGAGGCUUCGGCUUCUCCGGUAAGGGUGAGAAGGUAGGGUAAGAGCCUACCAGGGUGGUGGUGACAUCAUCGCUGUACGUCCUGGAGGCUGCAAGUUCAUGUAAACUGCCGUCUGAGGGUAGCCCGCCCGAGGCAGAGGGUAGAACGCUUGAGCUGCAUGGUGACAUGCAGAGUAGAUAAAUGACAGACAGUCAGUUGCGUGACCGCAAGGUUACUGCUUCCGGCUACAGAACCCGGCUUAUAGAGAC